rnacentral:rRNA from 1 species
AGAGUUUGAUCCUGGCUCAGAACGAACGCUGGCGGCGUGCUUAACACAUGCAAGCCGAGCGAGAAAUCACCUUCGGGUGAGAGUAAAGCGGCGAACGGGUGAGUAACACGUGAGUGACGUGCCUUCGGGAGCGGGGUAACCAUCCGAAAGGGUGGCUAAUACCGCACGAGGCUACAGCGACGAGAGUGGCAGUGGUCAAAGGGUCCAUUUGGAUUGCCCGGAGAUCGGCUCGCGGUCCAUUAGGUAGCUGGUAGGGUAAAGGCCUACCAGGCCGACGAUGGGUAGCUGGUCUGAGAGGACGAUCAGUCACACUGGGACUGAGACACGGCCCAGACUCCUACGGGAGGCAGCAGUGGGGAAUCUUGCGCAAUGGGUGAGAGCCUGACGCAGCAACGCCGCGUGUGUGAGGAAGGCCUUCGGGUCGUAAAGCACUGUCAGCCGGGAAGAAGAUCUGUGCAGGGAACUGCAUGGGUGUUGACGGUACCGGCGAAGGAAGCACCGGCCAACUCCGUGCCAGCAGCCGCGGUAAGACGGAGGGUGCAAGCGUUGUUCGGAAUCAUUGGGCGUACAGGGCGCGCAGGCGGCCUAUCAAGUCUGGUGUGAAAGCCCGGGGCUCAACCCCGGAGGUGCAUUGGAAACUGGUAGGCUUGAGUCCGAGAGAGGUUCGUGGAAUUUCCGGUGUAGGGGUGAAAUCCGUAAAGAUCGGAAGGAACACCGGCGGCGAAAGCGGCGAACUGGAUCGGUACUGACGCUGAGGCGCGAAAGCGCGGGUAGCGAACAGGAUUAGAUACCCUGGUAGUCCGCGCCGUAAACGAUGUUCACUGGCCGUUGCAUCCGUUUUGAGGUGCAGUGGCGAAGCUAACGCGUUAAGUGAACCGCCUGGGGAGUACGGCCGCAAGGUCCAAACUCAAAGGAAUUGACGGGGGCCCGCACAAGCGGUGGAGCAUGUGGUUUAAUUCGAAGCAACGCGCAGAACCUUACCUGGGUUUGACAUCCCGCGAAUCCGUCCGAAAAGGCGGAGUGCCCUUCGGGGAGCGCGGUGACAGGUGCUGCAUGGCUGUCGUCAGCUCGUGCCGUGAGGUGUUCGGUUAAGUCCGGCAACGAGCGCAACCCCUGUCCUUAGUUGCUACCACGUAGUGGUGGGCACUCUAGGGAGGCUGCCGGGGUAAACUCGGAGGAAGGUGGGGACGACGUCAAGUCCUCAUGGCCCUUAUGCUCAGGGCUACACACGUGCUACAAUGGUCGGUACAGAGGGCAGCGAUGCCGCGAGGCAGAGCGAAUCCCGAAAGCCGGCCUCAGUUCGGAUUGCAGUCUGCAACUCGACUGCAUGAAGGUGGAAUCGCUAGUAAUCGCGGAUCAGAACGCCGCGGUGAAUUCGUUCCCGGGCCUUGUACACACCGCCCGUCACACCAUGGGAGUCGCCUGCUCCAGAAGUCGGUGACCCAACUUCGUGAGGGAGCCGCCGAAGGAGGGGGCGGUAACUGGGGUGAAGUCGUAACAAGGUA